UUUAAUUGAAGAGUUUGAUCAUGGCUCAGAUUGAACGCUGGCGGCAGGCCUAACACAUGCAAGUCGAGCGGUAACAGGGGAAGCUUGCUUCUCGCUGACGAGCGGCGGACGGGUGAGUAAUGUAUGGGGAUCUGCCCGAUAGAGGGGGAUAACUACUGGAAACGGUAGCUAAUACCGCAUAAUCUCUCAGGAGCAAAGCAGGGGAACUUCGGUCCUUGCGCUAUCGGAUGAACCCAUAUGGGAUUAGCUAGUAGGUGA
rnacentral:rRNA from 1 species